rnacentral:ncRNA from 1 species
GGCAACACUAGGUCUGGAGGAAGCCGAUAGCAAAAUGCAUGUUUAACGAACAGGAAGCGGAUAUGAGGCGGUUCAGACGGAUGUGGGGGCACGACUCCUCAAUAUCCAAUACUCAUACAGGAGUCUGAGACGUAGAUCCGAUGGACAGGCAGGAAAGAA